GUGGGGCACAGUGGCAUGUGCCUGUAGUCCCAGCUACUAGGGAGGCUGAGGUGGGAGGAUCAUUUGAGCCCCGGAGUUCUGGGCUGUAGUGAGCUAUGCCAAUCGGGUGUCUGUACUAAGUUCGGCAUCAAUAUGGUGACCUCCCGGGAGUGGGGGACCACCAGGUUGCCUAAGGAGGGGUGAACCCACCCAGGUCGGAAAUGGAGUAGGUCAAAACUCCAGUGCUGAUGAGUAAUGGGAUUGCGGCUGUGAAUAGCCACUGCACUGCAGCCUGGGCAACAUAGUGAGACCCUGACUCU
rnacentral:SRP_RNA from 1 species